UCAGCUCAUUUAACAGUUUAGCUUAGUUUCAGCUUACUUCAGCUAUUCAACAACUUCAGCAAUCCGUUUCUGAAUUCGGCUUAUGCUACUCAUUUCACAGUUCAACUAAAAAUUAAACUGUUAAACUAGUCCUACUCAAACAACAAGUGUUUAGACCUUUUUGCUGUCCAGAUUUUUAAAUAAUGUUCAGAUUUCAGUUUUCUGCUGUUUAGGAUUGAUUUGUCCGGUCUUCACUUUUUGUGCUUUAUUUACAUUUUGGUGCUUUUUGCUUCUAAAUCUUUCAAAACAUUCAGCUCGUUUUAACAGUUUUGCUUAGUUUCAGCUUCAGCAAUUAGUUUCUGAAUUCAGCAUAUGAUGCUAAUUUCACAGUUCAGCUAAAUGUAAAAAUUAAACUGUUGAACUAGUCCUACUAAAAUAACAGGUGUUUAGACAUUUUACCUGUCCAAUUCUUUUAGACAGUGUUCACAGAUUUGAGUUUUCUGCUAUUUAGAAUUAGUUUUUUUGAUUCUUCACUUACUUUUUGUGCUUUUUUUUGCUUCUUUGUGCUUUUUGCUUUCACAUCUUUCACUACGUUCAGCUCAUUUAACAGUUUGGCUUAGUUUCAGCUUACUUCAGCUAUUCAACAACUUCAGCAAUCCGUUUCUGAAUUCGGCUUAUGCUACCCAUUUCACAGUUCAACUAAAAAUUAAACUGUUAAACUAGUCCUACUCAAACAACAAGUGUUUAGACCUUUUUGCUGUCCAGAUUUUUAAAUAAUGUUCAGAUUUCAGUUUUCUGCUGUUUAGGAUUGAUUUGUCCGGUCUUCACUUUUUGUGCUUUAUUUACAUUUUGGUGCUUUUUGCUUCUAAAUCUUUCAAAACAUUCAGCUCGUUUUAACAGUUUUGCUUAGUUUCAGCUUCAGCAAUUAGUUUCUGAAUUCAGCAUAUGAUGCUAAUUUCACAGUUCAGCUAAAUGUAAAAAUUAAACUGUUGAACUAGUCCUACUAAAAUAACAGGUGUUUAGACAUUUUACCUGUCCAAUUCUUUUAGACAGUGUUCACAGAUUUGAGUUUUCUGCUAUUUAUAAUUAGUUUUUUUGAUUCUUCACUUACUUUUUGUGCUUUUUUUUUGCUUCUUUGUGCUUUUUGCUUUCACAUCUUUCACUACGUUCAGCUCAUUUAACAGUUUAGCUUAGUUUCAGCUUACUUCAGCUAUUCAACAACUUCAGCAAUCCGUUUCUGAAUUCGGCUUAUGCUACUCAUUUCACAGUUCAACUAAAAAUUAAACUGUUAAACUAGUCCUACUCAAACAACAAGUGUUUAGACCUUUUUGCUGUCCAGAUUUUUAAAUAAUGUUCAGAUUUCAGUUUUCUGCUGUUUAGGAUUGAUUUGUCCGGUCUUCACUUUUUGUGAUUUAUUUACAUUUUGGUGCUUUUUGCUUCUAAAUCUUUCAAAACAUUCAGCUCAUUUUAACAGUUUUGCUUAGUUUCAGCUUCAGCAAAUAGUUUCUGAAUUCAGCAUUUGAUGCUAAUUUCACAGUUCAGCUAAAUGUAAAAAUUAAACUGUUGAACUAGUCCUACUACAAUAACAGGUGUUUAGACAUUUUACCUGUCCAAUUCUUUUAGACAGUGUUCACAGAUUUGAGUUUUCUGCUAUUUAGAAUUAGUUUUUUUGAUUCUUCACUUACUUUUUGUGCUUUUUUUUUUUGCUUCUUUGUGCUUUAUGCUUUCACAUCUUUCACUACGUUCAGCUCAUUUAACAGUUUAGCUUAGUUUCAGCUUACUUCAGCUAUUCAACAACUUCAGCAAUCCGUUUCUGAAUUCGGCUUAUGCUACUCAUUUCACAGUUCAACAAAAAAUUAAACUGUUAAACUAGUCCUACUCAAACAACAAGUGUUUACACCUUUUUGCUUCCAGAUUUUUAAAUAAUGUUCAGAUUUUAGUUUUCUGCUGUUUAGGAUUGAUUUGUCCGGUCUUCACUUUUUGUGCUUUAUUUACAUUUUGGUGCUUUUUGCUUCUAAAUCUUUCAAAACAUUCAGCUCAUUUUAACAGUUUUGCUUAGUUUCAGCUUCAGCAAUUAGUUUCUGAAUUCAGCAUAUGAUGCUAAUUUCACAGUUCAGCUAAAUGUAAAAAUUAAACUGUUGAACUAGUCCUACUAAAAUAACAGGUGUUUAGACAUUUUACCUGUCCAAUUCUUUUAGAGAGUGUUCACAGAUUUGAGUUUUCUGCUAUUUAGAAUUAGUUUUUUUGAUUCUUCACUUACUUUUUGUGCUAUUUUUUUGCUUCUUUGUGCUUUUUGCUUUCACAUCUUUCACUACGUUCAGCUCAUUUAACAGUUUAGCUUAGUUUCAGCUUACUUCAGCUAUUCAACAACUUCAGCAAUCCGUUUCUGAAUUCGGCUUAUGCUACUCAUUUCACAGUUCAACUAAAAAUUAAACUGUUAAACUAGUACUACUCAAACAACAAGUGUUUAGACCUUUUUGCUGUCCAGAUUUUUAAAUGAUGUUCAGAUUUCAGUUUUCUGAGUUUUAGGAUUGUUUUGUCCGUUCUUCACUUUUUGUACUUUAUUUACAUUUUGGUGCUUUUUGCUUCUAAAUCUUUCAAAAUAUUCCGCUCAUUUUAACAGUUUAGCUUAGUUUCAGCUUCAGCAAUUAGUUUCUGAAUUCAGCAUAUGAUGCUAAUUUCACAGUUCAGCUAAAUGUAACAAUUAAACUGUUAAACUAGUCCUACUGAAAUAACAGGUGUUUAGACAUUUUAGCUGUCCAAUUUUUUUAAACAGUGUUCACAGAUUUGAGUUUUCUGCUAUUUAGGAUUUUUUUUCUUGAUUCUUCACUUACUUUUUGUGCUUUUUUUGCUUCUUUGUGCUUUUUGCUUUCACAUCUUUCACUACAUUCAGCUCAUUUUGACAGUUUAGCUUAGUUUCAGCUUACUUCAGCUAUUCAACAACUUCAGCAAUCCGUUUCUGAAUUCGGCUUAUGCUACUCAUUUCACAGUUCAACUAAAUAUAAAAAUGAAACUGUUAAAAUAGUCCUACUCAAACAACAAGUGUUUAGACCUUUUUGCUGUCCAGAUUUUUAAAAAUGUUCAGAUUUCAGUUUUCUGAGGUUUAGGAUUGUUUUGUCCGUUCUUCACUUUUUGUGCUUUAUUUACAUUUUGGUGCUUUUUGCUUCUAAAUCUUUCAAAACAUUCAGCUCGUUUUAACAGUUUUGCUUAGUUUCAGCUUCAGCAAUUAGUUUCUGAAUUCAGCAUAUGAUGCUAAUUUCACAGUUCAGCUAAAUGUAAAAAUUAAACUGUUGAACUAGUCCUACUAAAAUAACAGGUGUUUAGACAUUUUACCUGUCCAAUUCUUUUAGACAGUGUUCACAGAUUUGAGUUUUCUGCUAUUUAGAAUUAGUUUUUUUGAUUCUUCACUUACUUUUUGUGCUUUUUUUUUUUGCUUCUUUGUGCUUUUUGCUUUCACAUCUUUCACUACGUUCAGCUAAUUUAACAGUUUAGCUUAGUUUCAGCUUACUUCAGCUAUUCAACAACUUCAGCAAUCAGUUACCAAAUUUAGCAUAUACUGCUAAUUUCACAGUUCAGCUAAAUGUAAAAAUUAAACUGUUAAACUAGUCCUACUGAAAUAACAGGUGUUUACACAUUUUAGCUGUCCAAUUUUUUUAAAAAGUGUUCACAGAUUUGAGUUUUCUGCUAUUUAGGAUUAGUUUUCUUGAUUCUUCACUUACUUUUUGUGCUUUUUUGCUUCUUUGUGCUUUUUGCUUUCACAUCUUUCACUACAUUCAGCUCAUUUAACAGUUUAGCUUAGUUUCAGCUUACUUCAGCUUUUCAACAACUUCAGCAAUCAGUUAGCAAAUUUAGCAUAUACUGCUAAUUUCACAGUUCAGCUAAAUGUAAAGAUUAAACUGUUAAACUUGUCCAACUGAUAUAACAGGUGUUUACACAUUUUAGCUGUCCAAUUUUUUUAAACAGUGUUCACAGAUUUGAGUUUUCUGCUAUUUAGGAUUAGUUUUCUUGAUUCUUCACUUACUUUUUGUGCUUUUUUGCUUCUUUGUGCUUUUUGCUUUCACAUCUUUCACUACAUUCAGCUCAUUUAACAGUUUAGCUUAGUUUCAGCUUACUUCAGCUAUUCAACAACUUCAGCAAUCAGUUAGCAAAUUUAGCAUAUACUGCUAAUUUCACAGUUCAGCUAAAUGUAAAGAUUAAACUGUUAAACUUGUCCAACUGAUAUAACAGGUGUUUACACAUUUUAGCUGUCCAAUUUUUUUAAACAGUGUUCACAGAUUUGAGUUUUCUGCUAUUUAGGAUUAGUUUUCUUGAUUCUUCACUUACUUUUUGUGCUUUUUUGCUUCUUUGUGCUUUUUGCUUUCACAUCUUUCACUACAUUCAGCUCAUUUAACAGUUUAGCUUAGUUUCAGCUUACUUCAGCUAUUC